UACGUAGGGUGCAAGCGUUAAUCGGAAUUACUGGGCGUAAAGCGUGCGCAGGCGGUUUUGUAAGUUUGUCGUGAAAGCCCCGGGCUCAACCUGGGAAUUGCGAUGAAGACUGCAAGGCUUGAAUCUGGCAGAGGGGGGUAGAAUUCCACGUGUAGCAGUGAAAUGCGUAGAGAUGUGGAGGAACACCGAUGGCGAAGGCAGGCCCCUGGUCUGA
rnacentral:rRNA from 1 species